AGGAUCUUGAACGACUGUAUUCACGACGUGAAACAGGGGAUUACACUGUUUUUAAACGGAAAGUAAAUCAAUUAACAUAAUAGACUCCU
rfam:Nicotiana attenuata strain TT chromosome 9, whole genome shotgun sequence.